GAUGAACGCUGGCGGCGUGCCUAACACAUGCAAGUCGAACGGGGUUAUUUUGGAAAUCUCUUCGGAGAUGGAAUUCUUAACCUAGUGGCGGACGGGUGAGUAACGCGUGAGCAAUCUGCCUUUAGGAGGGGGAUAACAGUCGGAAACGGCUGCUAAUACCGCAUAAUACGUUUGGGAGGCAUCUCUUGAACGUCAAAGAUUUUAUCGCCUUUAGAUGAGCUCGCGUCUGAUUAGCUGGUUGGCGGGGUAACGGCCCACCAAGGCGACGAUCAGUAGCCGGACUGAGAGGUUGAACGGCCACAUUGGGACUGAGACACGGCCCAG
rnacentral:rRNA from 1 species